GAGUUUGAUCUUGGCUCAGGAUGAACGCUGGCGGCGUGCCUAAUACAUGCAAGUCGAGCGAACGGACGAGAAGCUUGCUUCUCUGAUGUUAGCGGCGGACGGGUGAGUAACACGUGGGUAACCUACCUAUAAGACUGGGAUAACUCCGGGAAACCGGGGCUAAUACCGGAUAACACAUGAAACCGCAUGGUUUCAUGAUGAAAGACGGUCUUGCUGUCACUUAUAGAUGGAUCCGCGCUGCAUUAGCUAGUUGGUAAGGUAACGGCUUACCAAGGCAACGAUGCAUAGCCGACCUGAGAGGGUGAUCGGCCACACUGGAACUGAGACACGGUCCAGACUCCUACGGGAGGCAGCAGUAGGGAAUCUUCCGCAAUGGGCGAAAGCCUGACGGAGCAACGCCGCGUGAGUGAUGAAGGUCUUCGGAUCGUAAAACUCUGUUAUUAGGGAAGAACAUAUGUGUAAGUAACUGCGCACAUCUUGACGGUACCUAAUCAGAAAGCCACGGCUAACUA
rnacentral:rRNA from 1 species